GAUGAAGAACGCAGCGAAAUGCGAUAAGUAAUGCGAAUUGCAGAAUUUCCGUGAGUCAUCGAAUCUUUGAACGCACAUUGCGCCCACUGGUAUUCCGGGGGGCAUGCCUGUUCGAGCGUCAUUACAACCCUCAAGCUCUGCUUGGUAUUGGGCUCUGCUGGGACCGGCAGGCCUUAAAAUCAGUGGCGGCGCCACUCCGCUUCAAGCGUAGUAAUUCUUCUCGCUUCGGAGACCCGGGUGCGUGCUAGCCAGCAACCCCCAACUUUCUUAGGUUGACCUCGGAUCAGGUAGGGAUACCCGCUGAACUUAAGCAUAUCAAUAAGCGGAGGA
rnacentral:misc_RNA from 1 species